AAGUCGUAACAAGGUUUCCGUAGAGGAAUCUGCGGAAGGAUCAUUAGUGGAGACGCUGAACGAGACGCUGAACGAAGUGAAGCGUUGAGUGAGGCGACGAGUGGGGUGAGAGAGAGAUGCUGAAGCGAGGCGCUGAGCAAGGCGUUGAACGACGCUGAGCAAGACGCUGAACGACGCUGACCACCCACCACCCACACAAAUCUAACUCAUCACUACUCAAUCCUAAACAACAUCACAACCUUUACAACUUCCAGCAGUGGAUCUCUAGGCUCUC
rnacentral:misc_RNA from 1 species